rnacentral:rRNA from 1 species
CAAUAGCGUAUAUUAAAGUUGUUGCAGUUAAAAAGCUCGUAGUUGGAUUUGUGGUGUAUGGUGUGUUCCGGGCACUUGUUGUCUGAGUAACUUGCCAUUGCCAUCCUUGGGUGGAACCUGUGUGGCAUUAGGUUGUCGUGCAGGGGAUGCCCAUCGUUUACUGUGAUAAAAUUAGAGUGUUCAAAGCAGGCUUAUGCCGUUGAAUAUAUUAGCAUGGAAUAAUAAGAUAGGACCUUGGUACUAUUUUGUUGGUUUGCGCACCAUGGUAAUGAUUAAUGGGGACAGUUGGGGGUAUUCGUAUUUCAUUGUCAGAGGUGAAAUUCUUGGAUUUAUGAAAGACGAACUUCUGCGAAAGCAUUUGCCAAGGAUGUUUUCAUUAA